GUUGUUUCAGUGCUACAGGAUAGUAUGGUUCCUUCAAGAUAGUAAAGAUUCUGAAGCUGAAUACACCAACCAGUUAUCUGAAAACACUGCAAAACUAAUGUCUCAUAUGCAAAGAACAAGCACAUAACAAACAGAAUACAAGUCUGUUGCUUUGAGGAGUGGCACAAAUCCACUGAUGAUAAUGUCCAGCCAGCAGAUGUGGUAUGUGCAAGGAAAAGUUCUGAGAGCAAGUUCUUUAUAUUUGAUCUGCUGAGAUGGAAGGCAGGAUAAGAGAUGGAUUCUGACCAAAACUAGUUCCCAGAUGAUUUAAGGUUAAAAGGCUGCCAGAGCUCCCUUUUCACUUCUAAAUGUGAUUCAACGUGGUUCAAGGGCUGAGUGAAAUACAUAGAACUGCUGUCUGGGCUCUCUGUGACCUGAGGAAAAGAGAGGGGAACUCACAGAACUGUCA